rnacentral:rRNA from 1 species
CAGCCGCCGCGGUAAUACAGAGGGUGCAAGCGUUAAUCGGAAUUACUGGGCGUAAAGCGCGCGUAGGUGGUUUGUUAAGUUGGAUGUGAAAUCCCCGGGCUCAACCUGGGAACUGCAUCCAAAACUGGCAAGCUAGAGUAUGGUAGAGGGUGGUGGAAUUUCCUGUGUAGCGGUGAAAUGCGUAGAUAUAGGAAGGAACACCAGUGGCGAAGGCGACCACCUGGACUGAUACUGACACUGAGGUGCGAAAGCGUGGGGAGCAAACAGGAUUAGAUACCCGAGUAGUCCCUGUCUCUUAUAC